rnacentral:tRNA from 1 species
GCUGUGGGUAGCUCAAUUGGCAGAGCGCCGGGUUGUGGCCCCGGUGGUUGGCGGUUCAAAUCCGUUCCCUCAGCC